UAACGCUACAGUAUAUGAAAAGUUGCCCAAAAUAUUUGGGCGGUUAACAUAAAAUUUUCAGAACUCUAAAACUCAAUUACUCUCCUCUCUCCUUUCGAAUUCUCUUUCCUCCAUACCUCCGCCCAAACGUUGUUUUUGUGAAUUUAUGGGUGUUUUCGUGCUCGUCGGAACAAACCCCGAUCUAUCACCGCCGCCUAAGCCCGUUGCUGCUUCCUUCUUCUCCCCUCAUACGGUCAUUCCUCGUUGCUCACUGCCUCGCCAGCCGGAAUCGACGCCUGGAGGCUACCAACGCCCAGCCACGAGGGUCGUGACGCCCAUCCCUUCCUCUCUUAGUGAUUGUUGCUUCCCUUGUUCGCCGAAUCGUCGGUGUCAAGUUUCCUGCACCCAAUCGACGAAAAUCCCAAACCCUUGUUUUCUCUUUCAUUCCACUCCCACUGCAAGCCUGGAAGGUGACUCCGCCGAUUCCACCGCCUCGUUGGCAAUUCUUACUCUGGCAAAAUCCUAAUCCCGCAGCCAUGGGUUAGUUUCUUUCUAUCUUCUCCAUUUUUGUAACCUUGCUUCUCUCUGCUAAUUUGACUUUAUGUAUCAAAUCUUUUGUAAUCUGAGGAAAUGGCGGGAUAACAGGGAAUUCAAUUAUGUAUCAAUGCUAAUGAGGAGGAAGCAUCCUGAUGCCUUGCGAUUCCGUCUUAAGGUCAGAUGUUGAGAGGUCAAUUCCUUUCCAUUGUCCUGUCAAUCUUCCUGACAAGGAAGUACCCUAGGCCUAAUGCAUCGACAAUUGGGAAGAUAUUUGCACAUUAUUGGCCUCGAACAGAGCUAAGUUUAUCUCGUCACCAAGUCUUAAGGACGGUCAAGCGGUUCGUUAAUGGCACAAAUGAUGAGUUCGAUAUGCUCAAUGAUCUGAAAGUAUUUUGGAUCUUAUUAUGUAUUAAAGGGUAGCAUUUUAGGUAUAUUAGGUUGGAUCCUAUUAUGUUUUAUUGGAUGUCAUAUUUAAAAAUUUGGAUCUUAUAUAUUUGUAUUUUACAGUAUAAUCGUAGACGUAUAUAUUUCAGUCUACAACAAUUUUCUAUUUUACAGUACUAUUGUAAACAUAUACAGUACAGUCUAAUAAUUAUAUUCGAUUUUAUAUAAUA